GACUUAUACUUUCUCUAUCGUUUGCCUCUCGAGAUUCUGGAGAUGACCCGCUGCGCCGGCUCCCUGUGCCGUCCCCAAGAUUCACGCCGCCACGCCUCACCCAACCGCCUGCUUUCCCACGCCGCCGCUUGAGCCCCCGGACGCCGCCACGCCGUCUACCCUGAGUGGCUGGCUUGUUCCCGCCGACGGCCUGCCUGAGGAUCAGAUCGAUGGUUGUGGUGCCAGACCGAUGGGCGCCGGGGCGUGAGGAAGACAACACAGACAUCAGCGGCGGUGACUACGCUCCACCGGUUUUUACGUCUACUCCACUGUUUUUUAUCCCGUCCUCAACAGUCUGUACGAUUUCUCCUCCCAGCAAUUCUUGCGCUCACUCCUCUGCCCACCUCGCUGAUGCCGCCAUCCCCAUGGCACAUGCCCGGUGGCCGACCUAAAGCGCCCCAAUGACCGGCGGCAGUCGUCCCUUACCGACGCUCUAAUCGCGGAGCAAGUGCACCCUCGGCAGGCUUGAGGAGCUCGCAAGCGCGCUGCGUCAAUCAUCUCGCGGUUGUGAACAUCGCGCCGCCCAACCGCGCCCCUCCUCCACGCUGGCAAUCUCGUCAGAAUUUGGUCGCGCCCGUCCUUGGCGUCGCCAGAUCUGGCCACUCCGGUUGUUGGUGUCGUUGGAUCUGACAGCCAUGUGUCACUCACUGCGGCGGCGGCCGGUCUGCAAGGUAAUCACGGAGACAGCGAAGCAGUCUAUCGAGUACUAGGCUUCGACAUGAGGUUGGACCAAAAUCAAGGUGUUGAGCCCCAAGUCCUCGGAGCAAGCCUUCGUCAUUCAUUUCAUUGGGGGGAUUUUCGUUGGAGGGUCAGGGGAGCUUUGAUGAUUGCUAUAAUGCUAGCGGUUUGAUCAUUUCUACAUCGCAAACGAUGUCACAUUUUGGUUUUACAGGUGCUUGAGAAACUUGGUUGAGCCUGUAAAUAGUACACUCCAACUAUUAAAUCUGUAUUUGAUCCACCAUACUAAGUAUGUGAAAUUUUCGGUUCGUCAACUCUUUCGGUUCUCUCAUCCAUCUUUUGGCAGUAAUAUUAGCCGGGGUGAACUUUGGUUACUUUGGUGAUUAUCAAUGAAGUGAUACUAUUUAAUCUUAUUCUUAUUUUUAUUCAAUAAUUGUAUAUUAUGUGCCUUAUGCAAACUACUGUGCCAAGAUCAAGAUAUGAUGUGCAGCGAAGUGGAAACGUGCUGAUGGCCUUUAAUAACAAGAUAUGUUUUUGAAAGAAUGUUUGGUUCAAAAUUACAGCGUGUUUGUCAGGUUUCCUCUUAUAAGUGGUUAUUUCAUUCCUCCCCUUUCUUCCCAAGGAAUCUCCUCAAGUUUAGAGUGUCCGACCAUAGUAGCAUUUGACAUGAAACCCCAUUUUUCCUUAAGUAGUUUGAAACAUUUCGUCAGUUAAGCAGAUACUCGGCUUUCUUUAUUUAUUCAACAAUGUUUAUCUUGCUAUUUUAUAGUAUUCGGUAGAAGAUGAGGGUUCAGCCUCCUUUUGAAAAAUAAAUAAAUUAUGAUGGCCACUUACCAUUAGACUUUUCUUAGGUUUCAUUGUUGCAUGACGAGGUUAAUUAAAUUGGAGUGGAAGCAGCUCCUACUUAUGACAUACAAGUGGUAUAUUUUACAUAUUAGCGGUAUCUACAUAACAAAGUGUGGAAAGUAUGUUCAGUAAACUAUGUGAUAUUUGUAGAAAUAUAUUUAAAAGACCAAAAAUCGAAGUCGCAAAGGUAAAUCCAGCAAAAUGGUGGCUGAGUAGACAUAUUUACACAAUUUAUGAACUUCAAACUGACGUGAGUUUGUGCCUUUUGGUUUCCAAAUGAUGUACUGGAGGGCUUGCACAUUUAUAUUGUCAUAAUGCUACAUCUUAUCCACUUAUGUGGAUUGCAUGGUUGUUAACUUGCUAUCAUGGUCACCUAAUCAUGAUACUACAACAGGUGAGCUUGGAUCUGUACCAACAGUGGAUGGGGCGUCCAUUGAGACCAAGGCGGUUGGAGCAGCGGACUAUCGUCCUAGCAUUGUGAGUCCCUCACCGGGAAAGAAACUUUCUAAAUAUAUCGUCCUAGCAUCCGUGCAUACAACGGCCAUGUCGAAGUAAGGGUGCCCGUGACUAGCUUUAGAAUUUUGGUGUGUCCGGAUGGAGAAUCUAGGAUAGUCACCUCAUCAAGGAAAAGAAAUUAUGGGUUGUUUCAUGUAAUUCUGCUAUUCCACAUGUUCUAAUUAUUUCAAAAGAUCCACUGUGUUCUAAUAUCCAUCUAGAUCUAGAUCCAGUAUGAAUCCGUUUUACAACAGAUUUGUGUUUUAUUUUGGCUUCCACUACUUGCUGGAAAACUUUAGUGAGUUUGAUAAGAUUUUUUAGCAGGCAAAAUCAGUGACAUUAGGAAAAAUCUUCAUUACACAAUAGGUUUUCUCGCGGGUAAAUAUACACGAAGGUAUUUCUUUUUUUCAUUCCUCACUUUAAGCUGCUAAUUUGGACAAGCGAGAUGACUAGAUGAUAGAUGCAUGAAAAGUUGGAAACAUUGAUGAUUUUUGUAGUGUGCACUAACUGAAGUUGGCCUGCUGCUCCCACGUACGCUGUAGUCUCCCUUGGGUGAUUUGGAUUCUGAGAUUUUCUUUGAUUACCAUUGGGCAUUGGUUUCUUGUUCUACAUAUUGGGGCUUUCUUAAUUCUGGUGUUUGGCCUAAGUGAUUGGGGAUUGUUUGUGAAUGUCUGAGUCUGUGGGCAUCUGAAGCUGCACGCUCCAUUGGCUAAAACUUGCUGGUAGGCAAUGGUUUGAACAACUAUUGUGUUCUACAUUUAUUAGUUCAAUAUAUAUCAGCUAGCAGUAUUGGAUGCUAAGAAAAUGAUUAUGUUCAUUCAUUUUAAUUCCAAGAGACAGUCAUUUUCUUAUAGUCUUACUGGAUUCCCUCCCAUUUCAGUUUGAUAUCUUCUCAAAUUCAAAGAAAUUGGCAUGUUAAAUUACUUCUUAACCAGGUUUGGUUUCUAUUCACACAGUGUCCCUUAUAUCCAUGUUAUGACUUUUGUCGUAUACCCUGGUUUCCUUAUAAUUGUAGUAGCAUCCACAGAAACAGAUUAACUCACAUGUCGCUUUUUAUACUGUAUCCUAAUACAUGUUUCUAAACUAAUCAAUUUAUAUGUUUCAUUUUUUGUAUUUUCCUGCCUAUCUACAACUUAUGAUGUCAGAACUCAUUUGUAAUGUACACAUUGGAUCGUAGUUGAUCUUUGUUCUCACAUGCCAGUUAUGUUUUUUGAUGUGGAUAUGCUUAAGUUGAUGCGGUGCGUGGCAUAUGCUCAAGGCUCUUGGUCAUCUAUGGAAAUACACACCGGCAAGAUCAAUUGCUCCAAAGUUGAGAUUAUGAGAGGCUGACUAUAGAACAAAGUAAUGUGCAGAGGAUGCAUUAAUUCUACCUUUUGUGCUCAGCUCCUUAAACAACCCAUCUCAUUGCUGGGCAAAGGGCACAAAGUAAUCAACACGAAUCUCUCCGCUCAAGAAGCAAUGUUACACAGGAAUUUGACAGGUUUAAUAUGGACUAUUUUGGUGUGUGACUACUAAAUGUAAACUCAAGUCAUACUUAUCUCUUAGAGAUCAUGAUGCACGACCCAUAUCUAGCAUGCUGUUGUUUCUGCCUGUACAAAUUGUAUAGUAGAAAUGAUUGUUUGGCUCAUUGUAUAGUUCGAGUUGACUAUGUUAUUCCCAGUUCCUCCAACAUUGUUACCGCGAGAUCUAGAAAUUAAAAUUCAUGAUCUUUUACA